rnacentral:rRNA from 1 species
UGGGGAAUAUUGCACAAUGGGCGCAAGCCUGAUGCAGCCAUGCCGCGUGUAUGAAGAAGGCCUUCGGGUUGUAAAGUACUUUCAGCGGGGAGGAAGGGAGUAAAGUUAAUACCUUUGCUCAUUGACGUUACCCGCAGAAGAAGCACCGGCUAACUCCGUGCCAGCAGCCGCGGUAAUACGGAGGGUGCAAGCGUUAAUCGGAAUCACUGGGCGUAAAGCGCACGCAGGCGGUUUGUUAAGUCAGAUGUGAAAUCCCCGGGCUCAACCUGGAAACUGCAGCUGAUACUGGCAAGCUUGAGUCUCGUAGAGGGGGGUAGAAUUCCAGGUGUAGCGGUGAAAUGCGUAGAGAUCUGGAGGAAUACCGGUGGCGAAGGCGGCCCCCUGGACGAAGACUGACGCUCAGGUGCGAAAGCGUGGGGAGCAAACAGG